AACGAACGCUGGCGGCAGGCUUAACACAUGCAAGUCGAACGCAUCCUUCGGGGUGAGUGGCAGACGGGUGAGUAACGCGUGGGAACGUGCCCUUCAGUUCGGGAUAACCCAGGGAAACUUGGGCUAAUACCGGAUACGUGCGAGAGCAGAAAGAUUUAUCGCUGAAGGAUCGGCCCGCGUCUGAUUAGCUAGUUGGUGGGGUAAUGGCCCACCAAGGCGACGAUCAGUAGCUGGUCUGGGAGGAUGAUCAGCCACAUUGGGACUGAGACACGGCCCAAACUCCUACGGGAGGCAGCAGUGGGGGAUAUUUGACAAUGGGCGCAAGCCUGAUCCAGCCAUGCCGCGUGAGUGAUGAAGGCCUUAGGGUUGUAAAGCUCUUUCGUCCGGGACGAUAAUGACGGCACCGGAAGAAGAAGCCCCGGCUAACUUCGUGCCAGCCGCCGCCGUAAAAC
rnacentral:rRNA from 1 species